UUUUUUUUGGGGAAAAACCCCUCCUCCCCUUUACAUCCCGAGAAUUUUUUAGAGAUAGGGGGGUUCUCUUAGGAACUCUGAAACAGGUGUUGCAUGGCGGUUUUCAGCUCGUGUUUUGAGAUGUUGGGUUAAGUCCCCCAACGAGGGCAACCCCUUUCCUUUGUUGCCACCGGGUUAAGUUGGGCACUUUAGGGAGACUGCCGGUGACAAACCGGAGGAAGGUGGGGAUGACGUCAAGUCAUCAUGGCCCUUAUGGCCGGGGCUACACACGUGUUACAAUGGCCGGUACAAAGGGUUGCCAACCCGCGAGGGGGAGCCAAUCCCAAAAAGCCGGUCUUAGUCCGGAUUGCAGUCUGCAACUCGCCUCCAUGAAGUCGGAAUCGCUAGUAAUCGCGUAUGCCGAGGUCCCCCC
rnacentral:rRNA from 1 species